CGUUGUAUUAUGUAACGUUGAAUAAUUUUGAAGGAUGUACCUGAAUAUCUUUCCACAUAACAAGUUUCAUAUCAUCUGAAAGGUAUUACCAGUCAACAAGAGUAUACAGUACAGUCUCCCUUACAAGACGGCCCAGAAAAAGAGAUAAAGUGACAGAUAGCGAAUGUCCCAUUUCAUUAAACUUUACUUCAAUUGAAGCAAUGACUUCAUUCAAAUUCUUCAUUUGGGUAGGGUCUCUCUUCUUCUUUUGGACUUGUUGAAUCUCUCCUUCAGAAUGUAUAACAUUUUGUUGCAAUAGACUCGUAUCUUCCACAUGUGUUCUUUGGCUUUCAUUACCACUCAUGUCUACAUCAUCUUCUGGGGUAACCUCAUGUGAUGCCUCAUCUAUAAAUGUGUUAGUGAUGGAUCUCAUUGCACAGUUUUUUGGUAAAUCAACAAGUGAAUAAUAAUUUUUCAUGAGAUCCUUACGCAUAUUCAUGCUGUAGAAAGACCUAGUAGGAGCAUCCAGAGAGUUAAAAUGUUGUUGAAAUGUGUUGGCUACUUUAAGUUGUCCGCGUGUAGUUUUUUCGUACUAAUCUCUUUUUACGUGGAGCUUUGGAAUCAUCAACAACCUUCUUUUUGAUAUUCACCAUGAUAUCGAGCCUAUUUAAGAAAAUAUAAAAAUCAUGAUUAGCAUUCUAUGUCAAAAUUUUAGAAAAUCACAUAAAAAAAUGAAUAAACAAUACUCACCAUUGCAAGGCGACAGAAAAAUACAAACAAUAAUAUAAUAUUAACAUUACAAUGCUUCAAGGCAGCACAAGAAAAAACAAAUAAAACUAACUACAAAAGGAUCUUUUUAUUUCUGAACUAAAAUUUACAAUCGUCAAAUUAAAGUAUUCUCGCAAUCCCCUCUUACAUAGCUAAUUUCCUCGUUCACAUAAUCAAUGUUCAGUGAAACAUUAUUUCUAACACUGACUUCCUC
rnacentral:lncRNA from 1 species